CAGAGCAGCUGAACACAGAGGCAACUCACAAGCAUCAUGAAUUUUCCUCUACAGACUUUAAUUGGUUUUCCUGGGACCAAAAUGUAUAACACUGAAGACUGUGACGCACAAGAAAAUUGGAGGUUACUCUACCUCGCAGGUGCUGUGAGGAUAACUCAAAGAAGAAAAGAACCAUGUGCUUGAACACACUGGAGGAAAGAAGGUUGUAAAUAUAACCAAUUAAUAAGUAAUUCCCAAUUGAACAUCAUUCAGCUGGCAUCACCACAUUUUGUGGCAGUGUCGCAAUAA